GACGUAGGGCGCGAGCGUUGUCCGGAUUUAUUGGGCGUAAAGAGCUUGUAGGCGGUUUGUCGCGUCUGCUGUGAAAACCCGAGGCUCAACCUCGGGCCUGCAGUGGGUACGGGCAGACUAGAGUGCGGUAGGGGAGAUUGGAAUUCCUGGUGUAGCGGUGGAAUGCGCAGAUAUCAGGAGGAACACCGAUGGCGAAGGCAGAUCUCUGGGCCGUAACUGACGCUGAGGAGCGAAAGCAUGGGGAGCGAACAGG
rnacentral:rRNA from 1 species